rnacentral:rRNA from 1 species
CUGAGUUUUGAUCCUGGCUCAGAUUGAACGCUGGCGGCAUGCCUUACACAUGCAAGUCGAACGGAUUCUUGGGGCUUGCUCCAGGAGUUAGUGGCGAACGGGUGAGUAAUGCAUCGGAACGUGCCUCGUUGUGGGGGAUAACUAAUCGAAAGGUUAGCUAAUACCGCAUACGACCUGAGGGUGAAAGCAGGGGAUUCGCAAGAACCUUGCGCAAUGAGAGCGGCCGAUGCCGGAUUAGCUAGUUGGUGGGGUAAAAGCUCACCAAGGCGACGAUCCGUAGCUGGUCUGAGAGGAUGAUCAGCCACACUGGGACUGAGACACGGCCCAGACUCCUACGGGAGGCAGCAGUGGGGAAUUUUGGACAAUGGGCGAAAGCCUGAUCCAGCCAUGCCGCGUGAGUGAAGAAGGCCUUUGGGUUGUAAAGCUCUUUCAGACGGAAAGAAAAUGGCCGGGAUAAUACCCCGGUCAGAUGACGGUACCGUAAGAAGAAGCACCGGCUAA